CCACUAUUAGAGUUGAGUGGGUAACCUAGGAAAGCGUGUAGAACCGACCCUGGUUAUUCUACUUUACUCAAACAACCCUACAAAAGCAAUAAACAAAUGGAUUGGGAGACAUUCCUUCUCACCAUAAAUUCAAGUCAUUCCCAAGUCAACCUCCAUUCAUUCUCCAUCCAAGCGAUGCUGUUGUCUGUCUCACUUCUCUUUCCCAACUUUGAUUGCCAAAGUCAAGCAAGUUCCACAUUCAGACAAGAAUCCUUUGAUUGCCCAACUAUAUAUAUAUUUAUCUCCAUAGCAAUUCCACUGUGGAUGUUUUCACAUCUUCAAGCUGCUGAUUAUCUCUAUGAUGGGUAUUGGAUGAAGCGAAGUUUUAUGACUCAGGUGAAAGUAUGCCUGGCUCCCUGUAUGCCACAUACAAAGUUCAUCACUUGUUGAUUGACUUCAUAGGUGGCUUACAAGGAGCCAAGCAUACGUUUUCUGACCCUAACACAGCUUUUUCUUUUUCUUUUUCUCCUUUUCCUUUUUUCUGUUUUGAGUUAUUUCAUAAGUAUUUUCUGCUUAAUCCUUGAUUCAUAUAUACUUUCACAUGCCAUUAAAGCUUCAUUUUAUACUAAAACGUAUCACACACUGUAUAUUUGAGACACAAGGCUGUUGUCUUAGGUAUCCUUGUAGGAAUUUAGAUCAAAAUUAGUUUUCAAGAAAAAAUGUUUCCAAACAGGGAACAUUUCUCGUGUUUGAGUUUAGAGCAAAAUUAUACUGUACUGUAACAGACCAUUUUUGCUGUUCAGGGUAGAACGAGUUCACUGAUUUGUCCAACAUUCAGGCAACUAUUGACACUUUGAAAAUUACUGAUGUGGUGCUUGCAUUUGUAGUCAACUUGAAAAAGUGGUCUUUAAUUCUGAUGUACCAAGGUCAACUUAUGCUCAUAUAUGCAUGAACAAGGCUACAACUGAAAAUUGGUUAUCAGUUUAUAUCACAUGAAUCUAUCUUUCUUUCUUCUUACGGCAAGUUGGAGCUUGAUAUGUACAUGAUCCAAAUCUAAAUGCAAGGACCAGAAUCGUUACUGUUUUGAUGUGAAGAACUUUUCAAGUAUUUAAUUGUUACAUGGUAAAUUGUUGAAGAUAUUCUAGAGAGAAAAUGACAGUGGUUGCUUUCAGAUUACCUACUAGAGGUGACAGGCUUUCAAUCUUGAUGUUUGAAGAAAUGAAGAAAAACAUCUCACGACUCUCUAAAAGAUGAGAUCUGUACAGCAAAGGUUUUCAAAAUUCUAAAUACAUAUGUAAAAACCCACUGUAAAUAUAAAUACUUUUCUUUGUUGUUUUUCAA